UCCGUAGGGUGCAAGCGUUGUCCGGCAUUAUUGGGCGUAAAGAGCUCGUAGGCGGUUUGUUGCGUCGGCUGUGAAAUCCCGAGGCUCAACCUCGGGUCUGCAGUCGAUACGAGCAAACUAGAGUGUUGCAGGGGAGACUGGAAUUCCUGGUGUAGCGGUGAAAUGCGCAGAUAUCAGGAGGAACACCGGUGGCGAAGGCGGGUCUCUGGGCAACAACUGACGCUGAGGAGCGAAAGCGUGGGGAGCGAACAGG
rnacentral:rRNA from 1 species